rnacentral:pre_miRNA from 1 species
AGAGGAAUUAGCUGGGUCAAAUGGUGCUUCUAUUCCCAGCUUUCCAAGGAAUCUCCAUACUAUUUUCCAAAUUGAUUGUACCAAUUUGCAGUCCCACCAGCAAC